CACGUAGGCGGUUCGUCGCGUCCGGUGUGAAAGUCCAUCGCCUAACGGUGGAUCUACGCCGGGUACGGGCGGGCUGGAGUGCGGUAGGGGAGACUGGAAUUCCCGGUGUAACGGUGGAAUGUGUAGAUAUCGGGAAGAACACCAAUGGCGAAGGCAGGUCUCUGGGCCGUUACUGACGCUGAGGAGCGAAAGCGUGGGGAGCGUACA
rnacentral:rRNA from 1 species